rnacentral:rRNA from 1 species
GAUGAACGCUGGCGGCGUGCCUAAUACAUGCAAGUCGAGCGACCGGACGAGAAGCUUGCUUCUCUGAUGUUAGCGGCGGACGGGUGAGUAACACGUGGAUAACCUACCUAUAAGACUGGGAUAACUUCGGGAAACCGGAGCUAAUACCGGAUGAUAUUUUGAACCGCAUGGUUCAAAAGUGAAAGACGGUCUUGCUGUCACUUAUAGCUGGAUCCGCGCUGCAUUAGCUAGUUGGUAAGGUAACGGCUUACCAAGGCAACGAUGCAUAGCCGACCUGAGAGGGUGAUCGGCCACACUGGAACUGAGACACGGUCCAGACUCCUACGGGAGGCAGCAGUAGGGAAUCUUCGGCAAUGGGCGAAAGCCUGACGCAGCAACGCCGCGUGAGUGAUGAAGGUCUUCGGAUCGUAAAGCUCUGUUAUUAGGGAAGAACAUAUGUGGAAGUAACUGUGCACAUCUUGACGGUACCUAAUCAGAAAGCCACGGCUAACUACGUG